rnacentral:rRNA from 1 species
CCUACGGGUGGCAGCAGUGGGGAAUAUUGGGCAAUGGGCGCAAGCCUGACCCAGCAACGCCGCGUGAAGGAAGAAGGCUUUCGGGUUGUAAACUUCUUUUGUCAGGGAAGAGUAGAAGACGGUACCUGACGAAUAAGCCACGGCUAACUACGUGCCAGCAGCCGCGGUAAUACGUAGGGGGCAAGCGUUGUCCGGAUUUACUGGGUGUAAAGGGCGUGUAGCCGGGUUGAAAAGUCAGGUGUGAAAUCCUGGGGCUUAACCGCAGAACUGCAUUUGAAACUUUUGAUCUUGAGUACUGGAGAGGUAAACGAAAGUCCUGGUGUAGGGGGGAAAUGAGUAGAUAGUAGGAGGAACACCGGGGGCGAAGGCGGUUGACUGGACGGCAACGGACGGUGGGGCGCGAAAGCGUGGGGAGAAAACGGGAUUAGAUACCCUAGUAGUC